GACGAACGCUGGCGGCGUGCCUAAUACAUGCAAGUAGAACGCUGAAGGAGGAGCUUGCUUCUCUGGUUGAGUUGCGAACGGGUGAGUAACGCGUAGGUAACCUGCCUGGUAGCGGGGGAUAACUAUUGGAAACGAUAGCUAAUACCGCAUAAUAGCAGUUAUUGCAUGAUAACUGUUUGAAAGGUGCAAUUGCACCACUACCAGAUGGACCUGCGUUGUAUUAGCUAGUUGGUGGGGUAACGGCUCACCAAGGCGACGAUACAUAGCCGACCUGAGAGGGUGAUCGGCCACACUGGGACUGAGACACGGCCCAGACUCCUACGGGAGGCAGCAGUAGGGAAUCUUCGGCAAUGGACGGAAGUCUGACCGAGCAACGCCGCGUGAGUGAAGAAGGUUUUCGGAUCGUAAAGCUCUGUUGUAAGAGAAGAACGAGUGUGAGAGUGGAAAGUUCACACUGUGACGGUAUCUUACCAGAAAGAGACGGCUAACUACGUG
rnacentral:rRNA from 1 species